GGUGGAUCCAGGGCCUAAGGGUCCCUCCAGGGCCUGUCUUUCUCUCCCACAUAGAAAGAGGAGGAGGAAUCAGAGCAGACCAGUGUGAAGAAAAGACUUUAUUGCAGGUAUUUCAAGAAGUGGUACAAACCCAUCCCGGGGAAGAAGUGGGGUGCUCAGACCUGAGACACCACCACAUCUGGGGUGGAGGUCCUGUUUCCUGAGGUAGGGGUCAGUCUCCACCCCUUUGAGCGGCCACACUUGAUGAGUUACUAAACUUGUUGCCAGGGCCCAGAGUAAGUGAGCUGAUAAGGGAAUUUCGAAGGGAAGCUUUUUUGUUUGUUUGUUUCAUUUAAGGAGAAGUAACCUACUUAAAGAGGGUAUUGGGGGAACAGUGCGGCUAUGCAAAACCCAGGCUGCCCGCUCUGCUGCCUGCUGCUUGCAGAGAUGCGAAGGGGCCCAGUCCCUAAUCUAAUUCCACCUGAGAAGUCACUGUUCCUACAAUACCAUACUUUAAACAUCACUCUUGUUUUCAAGAAUAUCAAGGGAAGGGGGAAAGAGUAGGAGGAGAAAAGGGUGUCAAAAAUGAUCAAGAUAGGAUAUACAUAUGUUUGUACGAAUUCCCAAGACAAAUAUAAAUAUUAUGGAUAACAAACAUAUACCAAUAAAAUGGAAAAAAAUGUAGCAGUCUGUAUAUUUAUAGUAAAUACAUGGAUUAAUACUAGUAGCUAAUUCUGGGUAAAAUCUCACCACAGAUAGGCCCUGUCUAUAUCUAUACCCAUUUAAUCUUCCCCACAAACCUAAAUGGUAAGCACUAUUAUCAUCUGGUUGGUAGUUGAAGGAAAUGAACCACAGACACCUCAAAUAACUUCCCCAAGAUAUCAGUGGAUGUCUGGCUGAAGUUCUUAACCUUUACUUUAUACUCACUAACAGCAAAAAUGAGAAGAACCACUUUUCAAGAAUGCAAAUUUUGUUCCAGGAACAUUCAUUAUCUCACUUCACCUUUGUGCUCCUGUGAGUAAAUAAUGUCUCUGUUCUACAGAUGAGGAAACCAAGGCUUCGAGGUACCCAAUAACUGGCUUAAAGUUACUGAUAUCACGUGUUGAAUGCUAGUAAAUAAUGGAGCUGAAACUCUGGAAUUGCAAAGAGGAUAUAAAUUGUGAUCCUACUAUUUCUAGUCAGAAAAGUUUAAAACUGGCAUCUGUGGCCCUCACUUCUCUGCCAGACUCCAUGUCCCGAAGGCUGACCUUGCAGAGUGCACCACCUGGGCUACCUGUUCAGUUCAACCAACAAGAAUUGUCCUCUUCCACUGCCUCAAUGCUAAGGAUCCAACUGUGGCUUCUCCUUUUAUAACAACUCCUGAUAGACUCUUACCAUAACACCAGCUCUCCCUAAGAUCCAAAAACAUGAUUGCCUCCCCUGUUCCUUUAGGCCUAACAGUAAUAUCAUCUUCUUCUUACAGCCAUACGUGGGUGCCGUAGGAUCCCUUGCUGAUGUGAUCCAUUCAUAGUUCUAUAUAAGGUGCCUUCAUUCAAUUCUCAUCAGAGCCUAAUGUGACUGUGCAUUUUCAUCUUGCCAGGCCCCUGAGUGAUAUAACAAAUACUUAUAACAGACGGAAAUGGUGGAGGACAAGGGACCCCACUUCAGAGCCCCUACCAUAGGCCAAGCAGACAGCCAAGUAAUUUUAUGGUUGAUAAUAAAUGUCAAUCACUCUGAAGAAAGGGGUGUGAGGCAGGGUAAGACAAAGCGGGUGUCACAGGAAUUUGAGACAUAGGUUUCAGAUCCUUGCCAUUAGGUACUCCUAUUUCCCCAACUCAGAAUUUGAUAAAAGAAGGAGAAUCAGAACUAAUCCAUUCAGUUAGCCUGAAUAACAGAAAUGCUAGAGUGUAAAAUGUAGAUGUAAAAUAUUCUUCCAAGUUUGAAUGCAAUUUAAAUAGAAAGAGUGAAGGAAAGAGCAAGUAUUUAACUUUUUUUUUGUACCAUUCUAUGUACCUUAGUGUAGCACAGAGGUGAGCAGACAUAAACAUGAUUAAUGAAGUGACUAAUGUCCUCACUUAAAUCUCUGGAAUGGUUUACAAUUUUAAAAGGGUAUACCAUCAAAAGGAUGUGUUCCCCCCCUUCACACACACACACACACACACACACACACACACACACACGUUUAAGCAUGACUUAAAUAAUAGAAAAAAUAGUAACCAGUGGCAAGUGUCUAGCACAGGAAUGAUGACGGGUCCUGAGUGCUGUGGAUUGGAUCGGGAAUGUGCUCUAAAGGCCCAUAUUCACAGCCUCGGUCUAUAGCGUGGUCCUAUUGAGAGGUUGGGGCAACACUAAGGGGUGAGGCCUCAUGGGACGUUUUAGGUCACUGAGGCUGCACUUGAUGGGGAUUGUGGACCCUGGAAUCUUUUUCUUUUUCUUUUGGUUCCCAGCCAUGAGCAAAUAGCUUUGCUCCUCCUCCCUGCUCUCCUACCAGGAUGUGCUGCUCUGCCACAGGUCCAAAAGUAAUGAGGCCAACCAACUAUGGACUGAAGCUUCCUAAACUGUGAGCCAAACAAAACCUUUCUUGUGAUAAAUUGAUCAUCUCAGAUAUUUGUUUUAGUAAUGGAUAUCUAAGAUAGAAAAUUCUGGGUUAGGCCUUAGCAACCACCACAGUUAGAUGAUUCAAAGGUUAUCUUAUUAAAAUAUUCUAAGUAUCAGUUCUGUCAGGAAAAAAUAACUGCAAUCUUUUUUAUCAAUAUUUUUUCUUUUUUUGCAAGUUUUUUUAAAAAGUAGAACAGAAAAGGUACUUUAGAUCCUUUGUGCACAACCUAUAACCAAACAAAAUAACCACAGCCUAGGG
rnacentral:lncRNA from 1 species